GACAGAGGGGGCAAGCGUUGCUCGGAAUUACUGGGCGUAAAGGGCGCGUAGGCGGGAUGGCAAGUCGGUCGUGAAAUCCUUCGGCUCAACCGAGGAACGUCGAUCGAUACUGCUGUUCUUGAGGAUUGCAGAGGAGACUGGAAUUCCCGGUGUAGCGGUGAAAUGUGUAGAGAUCGGGAGGAACACCGGUGGCGAAGGCGGGUCUCUGGGCAAUUCUUGACGCUGAGGCGCGAAAGCCAGGGGAGCGAACGGG
rnacentral:rRNA from 1 species